GGGUUGUGAGGUUAAGCGACUAAGCGUACACGGUGGAUGCCCUGGCAGUCAGAGGCGAUGAAGGACGUGCUAAUCUGCGAAAAGCGUCGGUAAGGUGAUAUGAACCGUUAUAACCGGCGAUGUCCGAAUGGGGAAACCCAGUGUGAUUCGUCACACUAUCGUUAACUGAAUACAUAGGUUAACGAGGCGAACCGGGGGAACUGAAACAUCUAAGUACCCCGAGGAAAAGAAAUCAACCGAGAUUCCCCCAGUAGCGGCGAGCGAACGGGGAGCAGCCCAGAGUCUGAAUCAGCUUGUGUGUUAGUGGAACGGUCUGGAAAGUCCGACGGUACAGGGUGAUAGUCCCGUACACCAAAAUGCACAGGUUGUGAACUCGAAGAGUAGGGCGGGACACGUGGUAUCCUGUCUGAAUAUGGGGGGACCAUCCUCCAAGGCUAAAUACUCCUGACUGACCGAUAGUGAACCAGUACCGUGAGGGAAAGGCGAAAAGAACCCCGGCGAGGGGAGUGAAAAAGAACCUGAAACCGUGUACGUACAAGCAGUGGGAGCACCUUCGGGUGUGACUGCGUACCUUUUGUAUAAUGGGUCAGCGACUUAUAUUCUGUAGCAAGGUUAACCGUAUAGGGGAGCCGCAGGGAAACCGAGUCUUAACUGGGCGUUAAGUUGCAGGGUAUAGACCCGAAACCCGGUGAUCUAGCCAUGGGCAGGUUGAAGGUUGGGUAACACUAACUGGAGGACCGAACCGACUAAUGUUGAAAAAUUAGCGGAUGACUUGUGGCUGGGGGUGAAAGGCCAAUCAAACCGGGAGAUAGCUGGUUCUCCCCGAAAGCUAUUUAGGUAGCGCCUCGUGAAUUCAUCUUCGGGGGUAGAGCACUGUUUCGGCUAGGGGGUCAUCCCGACUUACCAACCCGAUGCAAACUACGAAUACCGAAGAAUGUUAUCACGGGAGACACACGGCGGGUGCUAACGUCCGUCGUGAAGAGGGAAACAACCCAGACCGCCAGCUAAGGUCCCAAAGUCAUGGUUAAGUGGGAAACGAUGUGGGAAGGCACAGACAGCCAGGAUGUUGGCUUAGAAGCAGCCAUCAUUUAAAGAAAGCGUAAUAGCUCACUGGUCGAGUCGGCCUGCGCGGAAGAUGUAACGGGGCUAAACCAUGCACCGAAGCUGCGGCAGCGACACUAUGUGUUGUUGGGUAGGGGAGCGUUCUGUAAGCCUGCGAAGGUGUGCUGUGAGGCAUGCUGGAGGUAUCAGAAGUGCGAAUGCUGACAUAAGUAACGAUAAAGCGGGUGAAAAGCCCGCUCGCCGGAAGACCAAGGGUUCCUGUCCAACGUUAAUCGGGGCAGGGUGAGUCGACCCCUAAGGCGAGGCCGAAAGGCGUAGUCGAUGGGAAACAGGUUAAUAUUCCUGUACUUGGUGUUACUGCGAAGGGGGGACGGAGAAGGCUAUGUUAGCCGGGCGACGGUUGUCCCGGUUUAAGCAUGUAGGCUGGUUGUCCAGGCAAAUCCGGAUAAUCAAGGCUGAGGUGUGAUGACGAGGCACUACGGUGCUGAAGUAACAAAUGCCCUGCUUCCAGGAAAAGCCUCUAAGCAUCAGGUAACAUUAAAUCGUACCCCAAACCGACACAGGUGGUCAGGUAGAGAAUACCAAGGCGCUUGAGAGAACUCGGGUGAAGGAACUAGGCAAAAUGGUGCCGUAACUUCGGGAGAAGGCACGCUGGUGUGUAGGUGAAGUCCCUGCGGAUGGAGCUGAGACCAGUCGAAGAUACCAGCUGGCUGCAACUGUUUAUUAAAAACACAGCACUGUGCAAACACGAAAGUGGACGUAUACGGUGUGACGCCUGCCCGGUGCCGGAAGGUUAAUUGAUGGGGUUAUCCGUAAGGAGAAGCUCUUGAUCGAAGCCCCGGUAAACGGCGGCCGUAACUAUAACGGUCCUAAGGUAGCGAAAUUCCUUGUCGGGUAAGUUCCGACCUGCACGAAUGGCGUAAUGAUGGCCAGGCUGUCUCCACCCGAGACUCAGUGAAAUUGAACUCGCUGUGAAGAUGCAGUGUACCCGCGGCAAGACGGAAAGACCCCGUGAACCUUUACUAUAGCUUGACACUGAACAUUGAGCCUUGAUGUGUAGGAUAGGUGGGAGGCUUUGAAGCGUGGACGCCAGUCUGCGUGGAGCCAACCUUGAAAUACCACCCUUUAAUGUUUGAUGUUCUAACGUUGGCCCCUUACCGGGGUUGCGGACAGUGUCUGGUGGGUAGUUUGACUGGGGCGGUCUCCUCCCAAAGCGUAACGGAGGAGCACGAAGGUUAGCUAAUCCUGGUCGGACAUCAGGAGGUUAGUGCAAUGGCAUAAGCUAGCUUGACUGCGAGCGUGACGGCGCGAGCAGGUGCGAAAGCAGGUCAUAGUGAUCCGGUGGUUCUGAAUGGAAGGGCCAUCGCUCAACGGAUAAAAGGUACUCCGGGGAUAACAGGCUGAUACCGCCCAAGAGUUCAUAUCGACGGCGGUGUUUGGCACCUCGAUGUCGGCUCAUCACAUCCUGGGGCUGAAGUAGGUCCCAAGGGUAUGGCUGUUCGCCAUUUAAAGUGGUACGCGAGCUGGGUUUAGAACGUCGUGAGACAGUUCGGUCCCUAUCUGCCGUGGGCGCUGGAGAAUUGAGGGGGGCUGCUCCUAGUACGAGAGGACCGGAGUGGACGCAUCACUGGUGUUCGGGUUGUCAUGCCAAUGGCACUGCCCGGUAGCUAAAUGCGGAAGAGAUAAGUGCUGAAAGCAUCUAAGCACGAAACUUGCCCCGAGAUGAGUUCUCCCUGAGACUUUAAGUCUCCUGAAGGAACGUUAAAGACGAUGACGUUGAUAGGCCGGGUGUGUAAGCGCAGCGAUGCGUUGAGCUAACCGGUACUAAUGAACCGUGAGGCUUAACCUUACAACGCCGAAG
rnacentral:rRNA from 1 species